GAGAUACUCCCUCCGUCCCAAAAUUCUUGUCUUACAUUUGUCUAGAUAUUAAUGUAUCUAGUCAUAUUUUAGUAUUUAGAUACAUCCAUUUUUAGACAAACGUAAGACAAGACUUUUGGGACGGAGGGAGUAGUAU
rnacentral:pre_miRNA from 1 species